rnacentral:piRNA from 1 species
UUAGUUUUCGUUGUGGACAAU